rnacentral:snRNA from 1 species
GUGCUCACUUCGGCAGCACGUGUACUACAAUUGGAACAAUACAGAGAAGAUUAGCAUGGCCCCUGCGCAAGGAUGGCAUGCAAAUUCAUGAAGCGGUCCAUGCUAAA